rnacentral:rRNA from 1 species
AGUGAACGCUGGCGGUAGGCCUAACACAUGCAAGUCGAACGGCAGCACAGGAGAGCUUGCUCUCUGGGUGGCGAGUGGCGGACGGGUGAGGAACACAUCGGAAUCUACUCUGUCGUGGGGGAUAACGUAGGGGAAACUUACGCUAAUACCGCAUACGACCUACGGGUGAAAGUGGGGGACCUUCGGGCCUCACGCGAUUGAAUGAGCCGAUGUCGGAUUAGCUAGUUGGCGGGGUAAAGGCCCACCAAGGCGACGAUCCGUAGCUGGUCUGAGAGGAUGAUCAGCCACACUGGAACUGAGACACGGUCCAGACUCCUACGGGAGGCAGCAGUGGGGAAUAUUGGACAAUGGGCG